rnacentral:siRNA from 1 species
GAAAUCUAUACUAACUUCCCGAUC